rnacentral:tRNA from 1 species
GAGAUAUUAGUAAAAAUUAUAUAACUUUGUCAAAGUUAAAUUGUAGGUUCGAACUCCUUCUCUCA